GAUGAACGCUGGCGGCGUGCCUAAUACAUGCAAGUCGAGCGAAUGGAUUGAGAGCUUGCUCUUAUGAAGUUAGCGGCGGACGGGUGAGUAACACGUGGGUAACCUGCCCAUAAGACUGGGAUAACUCCGGGAAACCGGGGCUAAUACCGGAUAACAUUUUGAACCGCAUGGUUCGAAAUUGAAAGGCGGCUUGGGCUGUCACUUAGGGAUGGACCCGCGUCGCAUUAGCGAGUUAGUGAGGUAACGGCUCACCAAGGCAACGAUGCGUAGCCGACCUGAGAGGGUGAUCGGCCACACUGGGACUGAGACACGGCCCAGACUCCUACGGGAGGCAGCAGUAGGGAAUCUUCCGCAAUGGACGAAAGUCUGACGGAGCAACGCCGCGUGAGUGAUGAAGGCUUUCGGGUCGUAAAACUCUGUUGUUAGGGAAGAACAAGUGCUAGUUGAAUAAGCUGGCACCUUGACGGUACCUAACCAGAAAGCCACGGCUAACUACGUGCCAGCAGCCGCCGUAA
rnacentral:rRNA from 1 species